rnacentral:rRNA from 1 species
CCUACGGGGGGCUGCAGUGGGGAAUAUUGGACAAUGGGGGCAACCCUGAUCCAGCCAUGCCGCGUGUGUGAAGAAGGCCCUCGGGUUGUAAAGCACUUUCAGUGAGGAAGAACGCCUGGUGGUUAAUACCCAUCAGGUAAGACAUCACUCACAGAAGAAGCACCGGCUAACUCCGUGCCAGCAGCCGCGGUAAUACGGAGGGUGCGAGCGUUAAUCGGAAUUACUGGGCGUAAAGCGCGCGUAGGUGGCUUGAUAAGCCGGUUGUGAAAGCCCCGGGCUCAACCUGGGAACGGCAUCCGGAACUGUCAAGCUAGAGUGCAGGAGAGGAAGGUAGAAUUCCCGGUGUAGCGGUGAAAUGCGUAGAGAUCGGGAGGAAUACCAGUGGCGAAGGCGGCCUUCUGGACUGACACUGACACUGAGGUGCGAAAGCGUGGGUAGCAAACAGGAUUAGAUACCCCUGUAGUC